UGAAAGUGAUAACGUAGACCAUAAUUUUCCAGGAAUUAUCCCAGAAAGGCAGAAAGUUCAAAUUUUGAAAUUAGUAAUUACCUUAUGUGCUUUGGUGAGUCUAUUAUCUAGCGUUUUACAAGUUACAAAAUAAAACAGGGAAUCUAAAUAUACUACUAAACCAUAUAAUGGCCACCAAACUCGGAAUCCUAAUGAACAUUGGUCAGAGCAUUAAGGAAAGUGCUUAAAAGAAGGGCUUCAUCUGAAAAUUUGACAUUGAGGCAUAUUUAUGAUGAAGAAGCUAGAAGGUAAGAAAUCCUGAAACUUCUAACUCUUAUCCUUAUUAGAGUGCUGAAAGUAUCAUGCGAGUAGCCAAAAGAUCAUCUCUGCCAUCUCUACCCCAUUCUCUGGUUGAUUUGGCUAGUAUUUUUGAUGAAGGACGUUUACAUCGGUACUCUUGCUAUGGUGAGAUCAUGUUCAAGGGUUGUUUGUAUGAUGUGGGUGGCAAAGCAAGCAUGAUUUUUUCAUGCACCCACCUCAUUAUUGCAAUUAGUUUUGGCUAACAAUAUUGAAGAAGUCCAUGUAGAUCCCAUUUUUAAGGUUGUGCCGUCAAAUAUGGGAAGUCAGUUGUUAACUGUUCAUUGUAUGAUUGACAAUUACGUAUGUUUAAUUUUAAUAUUAUUGAAAUUUUGUACUUUUUAAUCAAAAUUACCAGGUAACUCAAAAAUAAGAAAUUAUUUAAAAUAUAUAUUACAAUUAUUUUGAACUGCUUUAUUACUAAUAUAAUAAAAUUGCAAAUUAAAUGUUCUAAAACUUCAUUUUAUUAGUUCCUGACUAAUUAUUUAUCAAUAUAGUUAGUAGCUACAUACUACUGUUAUCUUUGUGUAAAAUUAUAAAAUAUACCAUAAUAUGACAACCAUAAAAUAUUAUAUUAGCCUUUAUAUAGGAUCCAAGACAGUAAAACUUGAAAUAUUUUUUGUGUUUAGUCUAUACCUAUACUUUACUCAUUUACUGCCUUAUGGAGUGUAAAACAAGAAACACCUACAACUGCCUUUUCAACUUUUUAAAGACUUUUCUGUUGGCCAACCUUAAUCCAUUCAUCAUAAUAACGGAUUAUGAAACUGCUCUUAGAGAUACUCUCACAUUUAUAUUCCCGACUGCACGAAUCACAAGUUAUUGGUUUCACCACAACCAAGCAAGUUCAUCGAUAAAGUUAUAAUGAAGUAAAAUAAUAUUUACUAAAGACAAAAAAAAACUUACUUAACCUAGUUUACUAAUUAA